ACGGGUGAGUAAUGUCUGGGAAACUGCCUGAUGAGGGGGGAUAACUACUGGAAACGGUAGCUAAUACCGCAUAACGUCGCAAGACCAAAGAGGGGGACCUUCGGGCCUCUUGCCAUCGGAUGUGCCCAGAUGGGAUUAGCUAGUAGGUGGGGUAACGACUCACCUAGGCGACGAUCCCUAGCUGGUCUGAGAGGAUGACCAGCCACACUGGAACUGAGACACGGUCCAG
rnacentral:rRNA from 1 species